rnacentral:rRNA from 1 species
CAAUGGACGCAAGUCUGAUGGAGCAACGCCGCGUGAGUGAAGAAGGUUUUCGGAUCGUAAAGCUCUGUUGUUGGUGAAGAAGGAUAGAGGUAGUAACUGGCCUUUAUUUGACGGUAAUCAACCAGAAAGUCACGGCUAACUACGUGCCAGCAGCCGCGGUAAUACGUAGGUGGCAAGCGUUGUCCGGAUUUAUUGGGCGUAAAGCGAGCGCAGGCGGAAGAAUAAGUCUGAUGUGAAAGCCCUCGGCUUAACCGAGGAACUGCAUCGGAAACUGUUUUUCUUGAGUGCAGAAGAGGAGAGUGGAACUC